AUCAGCGAUGGCGUCUGAAGUAGUUUCCAUCCCAAAGCUCGAUUUCUCCCAGCUGGAGUCUGGAACCACAGCAGUCUGUCUGCAGGGCCAGAUGAUGCAUGCCCUCCAGUUGUACGGCUGCUUCGAGGCUGAGUACGACAAGGUCACCCCGGAGCUCCGGGAUGCGUUUUUCGGCCGUGCCUUACCGGAACUCUUUGCCCUUCCCCUUGAGACGAAGCUGCUCAACAAAUCUGAUCUUCUCUUAGAUGGAUACAUCGGACAGAUACCAGGUUGGGCUUUUGAGAGUUUGCGAAUCGAGGAAGAUGUGGACAAGUUUACUCGGAUGCUUUGGCCCCAAGGAAAUCCCACCUUCUCUGAUACGGUCUCCGCCUACAACAAGCAUAUGAAAGUCUUGGAACAAUUUAUAGUGCGGACCAUAUUUCAUAAUUUGGAUAUAAAGAAGUACUAUGAUGAAUAUAUUCGAUCAACAAAAUAUGCAAAUCAAGUGAUAGAAUAUGGGAUCCCUUUGGACCAGGGGAGUCAGAAUGGAAUGGAUGCACAUAUUGAUCAAAACCUUGUCUCAAUACUCUGCCGGAAUCAAGCACAAGGGCUCGAAAUACAGACGAAAGAUGGGGUAUGGAUCCCAGUUGUGCCUUCCCCAAACUCCUUUACAGUCAUUAUUGGUGCAGCCAUUCAGGCCUGGACCAAUGGAAGACUACAUGCCCCCCUACAUCGUGUCAGAGAUACAGACAAUAAGAAAAGACACACUAUUAAGUAUGGGUCUGUACCAAUUGAAGGUUAUAUCAUUGAAACACCAAAAGAGCUGAUUGACGACGAACACCCAUUGAUUUGCAAGCCCUAUCUCUACCGGGACGAAAUAAUAUCUGCCUAUUCGGAGGAAGGAGGUAUAGUUGGGAGUACCUCUUAUGAUAUAAAAAAAGAUGAGUAGGAACAAUAAGUAUCCAAGAUUCCCAGAAGUAAG
rnacentral:misc_RNA from 1 species